UUAUAACUGUCAUUCAUGCAAUGUAACAAAGACAAUCAGUUAACAUGGCUAAAGAGAGAUCAUAUACAAUUUCUCUUCUUCUUCUUCUUCUUUCUCUGCUUCUGUGUUUUUCAUCUCAAUCUCAAGUUGGUGUUGCCGAGGCCAAACGUCACACACUUGCUACCAGGUAUUCAGAUUCUCGAUGCGCCAAUAAAAUUCUCAAAAUUCCAAGUAAAUUUCUGUUCCAAAAUUAGAAAACAAACAUUCUUAAAUAAAUUGUCUGUACAUAGUUAUGGUUCAAGUUUGCUGAGGGGGUGUAAACUAGCGCCAGUGCUAAAGAACCUAAUAAUAUGAAUUUGCACGUCUUGGAAAGAGAUUCACUUCAAUUCAGAGAAUGGGAGAUGACAAGUAUGAAGUAGGAAUGAGAUUUUGGUUUGCCACAAGAAGUAUAGCAUAGACAUAAAGAAAAUUUUGUCUUUUACAUUUUCAAAAACCUGAAAAUCAAAGGAUUACACCUCACUCGAAGUCACCCAAAGGAAAAGGACCAUAAGUGAUAAAAUGAAGUUUUCAAACAGUGAAGGAGAGUACAAGAAGAGUCGACUUUAUAAUUGUGUAACUGUUAAAAGUCUAUCAUGGAUUUGCUUAUACAUAAAUCAAUAAAUGUUUCAUAAACCAGAUAUAUUCCAAAAAUUAUGUGGAA